GGGCGGUUAGCUCAGUUGGCUAGAGCGCCUGCCUUACAAGCAGGAUGUCACAGGUUCAAGUCCUGUACUGCCCA
rnacentral:tRNA from 1 species